CAGAAAGACCCUAUGAAGCUUUACUGUAACUUGAAAUUGAAAUUAGACUUUAUUCGCGCAGUAUAGGUGGGAAGCGUUGAAAAUAUUCUUGCGGGAAUAUUUGAGCUAUCAGUGAGAUACCACUCUUGUAAUGUUGGAUUUCUAACUUUGAACCAUUAUCUGGUCAAAGAACAGUUUCAGGCGGGCAGUUUGACUGGGGCGGUCGCCUCCCAAAUGGUAACGGAGGCGUACAAAGGUUUCCUCUGAACGUGUAGAAAUCGUAUCUAGAGUGUAAAGGCAUAAGGAAGCUUGACUGUGAGACCUACAAGUCGAGCAGGGACGAAAGUCGGUCUUAGUGAUCUGACGGUACUGAGUGGAAAGGCCGUCACUCAACGGAUAAAAGUUACUCUAGGGAUAACAGGCUGA
rnacentral:rRNA from 1 species